GCAGAUCCAAAAAGAAAAAAAAAGAAAAAUAUUUGUAAAUAUAAUUAUACUGACUCAAUAAUCGAUAAUCCAACGGUCAGAAAUCACUGAUCCAAACUUUAUUUAAGAGAAAAAUUGAAUAAAAAUAGAGAUAAUUUUUAAAAGGAUAAGAGCAUGUUUAUUGGUGCAAUCCCUUAGUGGGUGCUUAGUGAAUUUUUAAAUAUUAAAAUUGUGAUGGGGUCAAAAAGAAAAGAACCAAACUAUGAGGACUGGAUGUGCAAAAUAGCCAAAAGUAGCCAUUGAUGUUUCACGAGUCUUUCGAAUGCGACGGCGAACUUGAUUCCAACGAUGAGCAGCACGACGGAAAUGAACUGACGAUGUCGAAACUGAGGUGGAGGAAAGCUGACGACGCCGAUGAUUCAGGGACUGUGCAGUGGAGGAGAGCUGAGACGUUGGGGAUUGAUGAUUGGAGCAUCGGAGAGGGGAGAAACAACCAACCAUGGUCUCCAAUCUCGAGAUGCAGAGCGGCUUCAUGGCGUCGAGGAGUCGUCGAGGUGUCGAGGACUCCCUGUUUCGCCAUCGAGAGAAGAAAAAGAAAAAAGACGAAAGACGACACUGCUCCUCCAGCCAACCUGAUUGUGCCACGUACCCGCUAAGCAACGUGCCUUCGAGACCCAAAUUAGGCGACGUCCUUUGUUUAAUUGUCUAUUUUCCUUUUAUUUUAAUUGCCAAUUUAGCUAAACAACCCUCCUAAGCGACGCCGAUAAACAUGCUCUAAGGAUAACAUGUGAGAAUGAAAAUCACCCUCUUGGGAGAGAUAUUUUAUCACAAUAUUUUUUGGAUCUUUCUGUGUUCUCUGAGUCAGCAAACGAUGUAAACUAUGAAAGACACAUUCAUUAUCAGUCAUAUGGAUUCACAAAGCCAAAGUUUGUGUGUUUACUUGCUCACCACAACACUCAGCUUACUAUACAUACAAUUCCACCAGUAGAUGCGUACACUGGUUGUCGACAGAAGCACUCGGCAUGGUUUCUUCCUUCUCAUGCCAGUCUCUUUGAUGGUUACUGUUUUAUGCUGCCCGUCAAUGGUGCAAGCUCUGCCGCUGCAGCUACUUCAGCUUUGAUUUUAUGUUUUCGAUCCUACAAAAAACACAUCCUCAUUAUUUGGUUAACCGGGUAGAAGUUGUAUGCAUCGUUGUCCUGUAGGUCUUUGCUAUCAUUUUGGUGCAACACGUACGGGCCUUUUACUCCCAUUGUUUGAGGAAGAUGACUGUGCGUCUUGGUCUACUAGAGAGUGACCAUUAUCACAACUCUUUUCCAAACUGGACUGAGAUUCCUCAUCUGACUUGCCAACUGAAGAAUCAACUGGAGCUGGCGGUUGUUGCUCCUUUCGUGGAGAUAGGUGCUUGAUUACCAACUAGAGAAACACCAGGAGGUGAGAAUGAUGGAAUCUGAUUUAAAGUGUCCGUGCUUGAUUUGCUACAAUGUAAGGAGAGCCCAAAGUACCUAAAAGUGUAAGAGGAUAGCCCAAAGUAACUAAACAUGUAAAGCACUCAUAUAUAAACACAAGGCCCCCAAUCAUGUGCUUGGUUGGCUUGUAUUGAAGACCGGCACUGGUUCUCGCACUGUAUGGUUGACUAUAGAUUGGGCCUUGUUGAUCUAGUUGAUAAAGAAAAAAAAGUAUAGGAACAUGACCUAUUGAUAUAAUCGAAUGUCAAGAUUUGAGGACUAAUUUUUUUUAUAUAAUAUCAAUACUAUUAAAACAAGAACAU